UGGGGAAUAUUGCGCAAUGGGGGCAACCCUGACGCAGCAAUACCGCGUGAGUGAAGGAGGUUUUCGGAUCGUAAAGCUCUGUUAUUGGGGAAGAAAAAAGACGGUACCCAAGAAGAAAGUCCCGGCUAACUACGUGCCAGCAGCCGCGGUAAUACGUAGGGGACAAGCGUUGUCCGGAUUUACUGGGCGUAAAGGGCACGCAGGCGGUUUUUUAAGUCAGAUGUGAAAGGUACCGGCUCAACCGGUGACAUGCAUUUGAAACUGAAAGACUUGAGUAUUGGGGAGGCAAGUGGAAUUCCUAGUGUAGCGGUGAAAUGCGUAGAUAUUAGGAGGAACACCGGUGGCGAAGGCGGCUUGCUGGACAAAUACUGACGCUGAGGUGCGAAAGCGUGGGGAGCAAACAG
rnacentral:rRNA from 1 species